UUCCGGUUGAUCCUGCCGGACCUUGACUGCUAUUGGAGUAGGACUAAGUCACGCUAGUCAAAAGUGCGCAAUGGAGCACCUGGCGUACGGCUCAGUAACACGUAGUCAACCUACCCUAAGGACGAGGACAACCACGGGAAACUGUGGCUAAUGCUCGAUAAGAAAUUUGGCCUGGAACGGUAUCUUUCACAAAACCGGCUCGCCGUGAGACACGGGCCUUAGGAUGGGGCUGCGGCUGAUUAUGCUAGAUGGCGGUGUAAAGGACCACCAUGGCUACGAUCAGUAUGGGCGAUGGAAGUCGGAGCCCAGAGUCGGCUACUGAGACAAGGAGCCGAGCUUUACGAAGCUUAGCGGUCGCGAAAACUCGCCAAUGCACGAAAGUGUGAGUGGGCUACUCCAAGUGUCAUUCUUACGGAUGACUGUCGCACAGUCUUACCAGCUGUGAAAGGAAGGAGAGGGCAAGGCUGGUGCCAGCCGCCGCGGUAAAACCAGCUCUUCGAGUGGUCAGGACGAAUAUUGGGUCUAAAGCGCUCGUAGCCGGACAAGUAGGUUCUUGGUUAAAUCCGACAGCAUAACUGUUGGUCUGCUGGGAAUACCGCUAGUCUUGGGAGCGGGAGAGGACAGAGGUAGUCAUAGGGCAGGGGUGAAAUCCAGUGAUCCUAUGGCGACCACCGAUGGCGAAGGCAUCUGUCUGGAACGUAUCCGACGGUGAGGGGCGAAAGCUAGGGGAGCGACCCGGAUUAGAUACCCGGUUAGUCCUAGCCGUAAACGAUGCGGACUAGGUGUUACAGCGGCCAAGAGCCACUGUAGUGCCACAGUGAAGACGUUAAGUCCGCCACCUGGGGAGUACGGAUGCAAGUCUGAAACUUAAAGGAAUUGACGGGGGCGCACCACCAGGAGUGAAGCCUGCGGUUUAAUUGGAGUCAACGCCGGA
rnacentral:rRNA from 1 species